GAGUCGACCCCUAAGGCGAGGCUGAAAAGCGUAGUCGAUGGGAAACGGGUUAAUAUUCCCGUACUGGUGGUAACUGCGAUGGGGGAACGGAGAAGGCUAGGUUGUCCGGGCGACGGUCGUCCCGGUUCAAGCAGGUAGGCAGAGUGAUUAGGCAAAUCCGGUCACUUAAUGCUGAGAUGUGAUGACGAACCACCAAGGUGGUGAAGCAAUUGAUGCCCCGCUUCCAGGAAAAGCCUCUAAGCUGCAGGUUACCAACAAUCGUACCCCAAACCGACACA
rnacentral:rRNA from 1 species